GGCCAGGUGGCGGAGUGGUUAACGCGGUAGACUCGAAUGCCAAGGAUUCCCUUGAACUCGCAGCUAUCUACUUCCUUCGGGAGCGUCUGUUCGAAUCAGGCCCUGGUCG